CUGUGAGUUCACCACUUCAUGGGUAGGAGCUGAUUCUCAUAGUGGAGAACUCAACAAUGACUUUCAUCUUCAUGUUCCUCUGGACACUUGUCCUCUGCUUUCAGAUCUCAUAUGGACAGGUCACUGUGACUCAGACUCCUGCAGUGAAAGCUGUUCAACAGGGAGGAUCAGUCACUCUCAACUGUAAAACCAGCAGUGAUGUGUUUGUGACUUCAUCAAAACAUUAUUUAGCCUGGUACCAACAGAAACCUGGAGCAGCUCCUAAACUCCUGAUCUAUACUGCCAAAACACUUCAGUCUGGGACUCCAUCCAGAUUCAGUGGCAGUGGAACUCACAGUGACUUCACUCUGACCAUCAGUAAUGUCCAGGCUGAGGAUGCAGGAGUUUACUACUGUCAAAGUGAACACUAUAUAAGCAGUAAAUAUGUGUACACGUUUGGAGGCGGCAGUAGACUUGACGUAGCGGGGAGCAGCAGGAGCGGGGAGACCAGUCGCUUGGGCCCACAGAAGGACGGCCUGUACAGCUGGAGCAACACCCUGACCCUCCCUCUCCAGGAGUGGACCCAGGGGGUCUCAGUGACCUGCGAGGCAAAGCAGGGCUCCCAGUCUGUCACUGAGAUUCUGAAGAAAUCAGACUGCUCCUAGGGUCCCCUUUCAAAUGUCUGUCAUUAGCCUGAUUGAAAGUGUAUUUGAUAAAGACUCUUCAUCUCUGAUAGAGACUCUCUCUUAUUUCUGUUAGUGUGCAGCACUGAGUCACUGUCUUUCCCUCCCUUUCCACCUCUUUUACAGCAUUUGGGAAUCUGAAGUGCUUGUUACUUUGACCCUUUCAUGUGUUUUGACCAUUUAUUAAUAAAGGAGUUUGAUGAAAUU